rnacentral:lncRNA from 8 species
AUGCUACGUAAAUAUUGUUUGGAAUCUGAGAAAGAUUGGUUUGAGGGAGUUCCUCUAGUUUUGUUUGCUGCUCGUGAAACUGUACAGGAGUCCCUAGGGUUCAGCCCGGCUGAACUAGUGUUUGGACACACAGUGAGAGGACCAAUGAAAGUCCUUAAAGAACAGUUUUUGUCCCAAGAGUUGUGUACUGGAUAUGAGAAUGUGUUGGACUAUGUUAGUCGCUUUCGUGAGCGCCUACACCAAGCCUGUGCUCUCGCUAAGGAAGCUCUGUCUUCCUCACAGACGAGUAUGAAAGGACGCUAUGAUAAACAGGCUGUUUCUCGUCCACUACAGCCAGGUGACCAAGUACUGGUGCUAUUGCCUGUUCCAGGAUCUUCACUGUCAGCUCGUUUCUCUGGUCCUUAUUUGAUUGAGAAGAAGUUAAGUGAAACUGAUUAUGUGCUUCAAACUCCUGAUAGAAAACGCCAAUCUCGUGUGUGCCACAUUAACAUGUUGAAAGCAUACCACACCCGACCCAUCACCCAGGUAGAUGGUUCAACCACAGCGGAAGUUACUGCUAUUUCUGCUGCUUCUACUGCUAUGAUAGUGGACUGUCAUAUUGAUGAUGUUGAUGGAGAUGGAUUAGAGUUGCGCAAUACUCAGCAGCAGUGUGUUAGAUUGCCCAACUCAGAAAUGCUGAUGUCUCUCCAGUCAGGUCUGGUUCAUUUAACGGACGGACAGGCCGACGAUAUUGUGAGGUUACUCCACAGUUUUCCAUGUCUCUUUAAUGACGUUCCUACUCGCACAAAUGUGUUGGAACAUGACAUUAAUGUUGGAAAUGCUGCCCCUAUCAAGCAACACCCAUAUCGUGUCAAUGCUUCUAAGAGGAAGAUAAUGAGGGAUGAAGUGAGAUAUUUGUUGGAAAAUGACCUGGCUACGCCAAGUUCAAGCCCUUGGAGUUCUCCUUGCCUUCUGGUUCCUAAACCUGAUGGUACGUCCAGGUUAUGUACGGAUUAUCGAAAGGUAAAUUCUGUCACAUUGCCAGAUUCGUUCCCGUUACCCAGACUGGACGACUGUAUUGACACUGUUGGUGCUGCUACUUAUGUAACUAAGUUGACCUCUUAA